CUUUAGCCCUGAUGGAAGUAAAAAUCCUUUACAGCCGGGGUUCGGCUGCGAAGAUUGCAACGUACAGCAGGAGAAAAG
rnacentral:sRNA from 1 species